CUACGGGGUGCUGCAGUGGGGAAUUUUGGACAAUGGGCGCAAGCCUGAUCCAGCAAUGCCGCGUGCAGGAAGAAGGCCUUCGGGUUGUAAACUGCUUUUGUACGGAACGAAACGGUCUGGGUUAAUACCCUGGGCUAAUGACGGUACCGUAAGAAUAAGCACCGGCUAACUACGUGCCAGCAGCCGCGGUAAUACGUAGGGUGCGAAGCGUUAAUCGGAAUUACUGGGCGUAAAGCGUGCGCAGGCGGUUUUGUAAGACAGUCGUGAAAUCCCCGGGCUUAACUUGGGAAUUGCGAUUGUGACUGCAAGGCUGGAGUGCGGCAGAGGGGGAUGGAAUUCCGCGUGUAGCAGUGAAAUGCGUAGAUAUGCGGAGGAACACCGAUGGCGAAGGCAAUCCCCUGGGCCUGCACUGACGCUCAUGCACGAAAGCGUGGGGAGCAAACAGGAUUAGAUACCCGGGUAGUC
rnacentral:rRNA from 1 species